rnacentral:rRNA from 1 species
GUGUCAGCCGCCGCGGUAAUACGGAGGGUGCAAGCGUUAAUCGGAAUUACUGGGCGUAAAGCGCGCGUAGGCGGCUAGGUCAGUCAGAUGUGAAAUCCCCGGGCUCAACCUGGGAAUUGCAUUUGAUACUGCCUGACUUGAGUGUGGUAGAGGGAAGCGGAAUUCCAGGUGUAGCGGUGAAAUGCGUAGAUAUCUGGAGGAACAUCAGUGGCGAAGGCGGCUUCCUGGACCAACACUGACGCUGAGGUGCGAAAGCGUGGGUAGCAAACAGGAUUAGAAACC